rnacentral:lncRNA from 1 species
GCAGUUUGAAUGGACCGACGGCUCCUCCUAUGACUACAGCUACUGGGACGGGAGCCAGCCGGAUGGUGGCCUGCACACGGACCCAGAAGAGGAGGAUUGCGUGCAGAUAUGGUACCGGCCCACCAGCGAUGAGGAAACUGAGGCACGGAGCUCCAGCGACUUGCUCAAGGUCACAAACCUGGUAGGUGAUAGAGCCAGAGUUUUAACACCCGACUCAAGAGGACCCCACAUCAUUUGCCUAUCCCGGUGCCCACACGUCUGGGUCCAUUUGACCCAGAAGAUAAAACAGUAAGUCAGUUAACAUCUUUUGUUCUCUGGAAUUGGUUUCCGAAUUGGUCCCCCAGUGGGUGGUAAUGCUGGGCUUCAAACCAGGUCUGCCUAUCUUCCUGCUUCCCUUACAGGGCUCAGGGUGCUACUUCCCAAUUGCUAAUUCCACCACCAAGGGCAGCACAAAGUAACGAAAAAAGCCAGAGCAGAGGAGCCAAGUUCAAAGACUGGUUUUGCCACUGCCUGUGAUCUUGGGCACUUCUCUCUCUCUCUCUCUCUUUCUCUCUCUCUCUCCCACACACACAAGUACAUAUAAAGACACACAGAGGAGCCUGGGUGGCUCAGUCAGUUAAACGUCUGCCUUUGGCUCAGUCAUGAUGCCAGGGUCCUGGGAUCAAGCCCCGUGUCCAGCUCCCUGCUUACCCAGGCGUGGGUGGGGGGGCUGCUUCUCCUUUUCCCUAUGCUCCUCCCCCUGCUCGUGUGCAGGCACUCUUUCC